UGACAAGCCACAUCCAUGAUUGAUUGU
rnacentral:piRNA from 1 species